AUUUAAGCUGACGAGUCCCGAAUAGGAUGAAACGCGCGUCUUGGAU
rfam:Schistosoma rodhaini strain Burundi genome assembly, scaffold: SROB_scaffold0000035